UCUUUUUUCCUUUCUACAAAUUCUAAUAGGAUGUCCUAUAAUGCACUAAAAAAACAACUAGCAUGUUAAACCCAUGAUAUCACAUCUCCUAUCUUUUAGGGUGCAACUAAAGUGAAUAUGUAGGUGAAGAGGGUGACUCAGUGCAGAAGGCAGCGAGGGAACAGCAGGAGUUGUCGAUAUAGUAAAUGUGGGAAGCUCAAGGAGCUAAAGCUUCAGGAACCCUAGGGCAGGGAGGGUCUCCUGCAUUCCAGCUUAGAAGGGCUGCUCUUCAAGUCUGAGUGUCAGCAGCUCCAUUUUUCCAGAAAGCCACAUUCUUCCAACGGAAGGCAAUGUCCCUCUGCCGCUGCUCACCAUGAAAAGACAGUGUGCCGUGUCAGGAACUGCAGGGCCAGAGCUUUGUGCACUGGGGGAAGGGUCACGAAGCAAAAGGUCACAAGGGUAGGAAGGAAAGUUCUACAUUGGCCGUGGGAACAAGCCAGGCCCAGAGCAGACACCCAGAGUUCAGGAAUGUUCCCUGGCUCACAGCCUCAGAGCUGUGACUAUCAUGAAGGGUGGCUAAAAAUACCUUGGUCAGGGGCCUAGAGAUUGCAUUUGGGAGGCUGCUGUCCAGAGGCAGCCUGGGGAGAGCUGACAGCAGUGUGGGUGCCAGGGCCCCCACCAGCUGCAAAGGCCAGCCAGCCCCCAGCUGCCUGCAGAUGGGUGUUUCUGCCAGUUCUUCUUUAGUGUUCAGGCUCAGAUGAAAGGCCACUUUCAGUAAGUUUCCCUGAUACUGUCAGAGACUGGAGCCAAGACCCUGUCUGUUUUACUCUCUGGACAGCCAGUCUGAGAGGUGGAUGGGCAGUGACUGAACACCACCACCCACAGCAGCGGGCUUUAACCUGAUGGUGGAGACUCCAGCACAGGAGACUCCAGUAGCUCAGAAGGCCUAAUAAGGACAGGAUCAAAGCUUGGACAGCUCGAAGUUGGACUCCUUCCUAUCCCAGAUCCAAGAUCUUUGGUCCUCCUUCAAAGAGAUAGGACACUCACUCCGCUCAACAAUCAAUGCAAAUGAAAAGAUCAACAGAGAUGAUAUGAGUCAGCAGUGGUGCAGGUGAUCUGUGCAGUGCGGUGCGGUGCUGGGGAUGGGUCAAAGCUGUGAUGCAGGGGGCAUGCAACUGGCUCACCAUGGCAUGCAACCAGCUCACCAUGGCAUGCAAUUGGCUCACCAUGGCAUGCAACCGGCUCACCAUGGCAUGCAACCGACUCACCAUGGCAUGCAACCGGCUCACCAUGAGGGGCCAAUCACAAAAGCAGAAACCUCGCCAAGCUGAUAUCUUUCUAGAAAGAAAGAAACCAGCUUGGCAAAGUUCCUGCUUUUGUGACUAUCUCCUAAUGCAGAAACCAAGGCACCUCAGAAGAUCAAGGCUUCUAAAUUCUCCUGGGGGAACAGACGUCAGCCACUCCGCACAAAGGAAACUUCCUUUUCUGUGUCAGAGGAAGACAUAAUUGUGCCAUUUGCUUCUUGAAGAAGUUUACAAACAUUUGCAAGUUGUCAAAAAUAAUUAGUCUAAAAUUGUUUCAUAAACCAUGGAAUGAAACAGUCCGUGCCUUGUUGAGAUCAAAGGGCUUCUGUUACCUUCUUGUAAAUCCAAAUGAAAUUCUUUUGAAAGUAAACUCUUGGAAUUAGCA